UACGUAGGGGGCAAGCGUUGUCCGGAUUUAUUGGGCGUAAAGAGCGUGUAGGCGGCCAGACAAGUCUGCUGUGAAAACUCGAGGCUCAACCUCGAGCUGUCGGUGGAAACUGUCUGGCUAGAGUCCGGAAGAGGAGAGUGGAAUUCCUGGUGUAGCGGUGAAAUGCGUAGAUAUCUGGAGGAACACCGGUGGCGAAGGCGGCAUCCUGGACCGAUACGUGACGCUGAGUGAGCGAAAGCCAGGGGAGCAAACGGG
rnacentral:rRNA from 1 species